rnacentral:lncRNA from 1 species
AUGGAAACUCUUUCUCCUCUCCUCGAGCAAAUACAAUUCCUCACCAGGCCGGUUUUAAUGUAACCAUACGAGAAAGCUCAAGCCAAGUGCUCAAGUGGAUGCAUCCGCCUGUUUGUAUGUUACCUCUUGCUACUGCAAUACGUAUGUAUAAUUUGGGUGUCAACUUUUUUUUUUUUUUUUUACUAAUUUACAUCAAUUUUAUUCAAGAAUAUGUGACAAUUAUGUGCCAUUUUGUUCCUUUUUUUUUUUUUUUUUUUUUUUUGCGUAUAAGUUGUGAGAUGCUAUAUAUUACUGUAUGUUACCUCUUGCUACUGCAAUACGUAUGUAUAAUUUGGGUGUCAAUUUUUUUUUUUUUACUAAUUUACAUCAAUUUUAUUCAAGAAUAUGUGACAAUUAUGUGC